AUACUUACCCGGCAGGGGCAUGCCAUGAUCACGAGGGUGGUUUUCCCAGGGCGAGGAUUACCCAUUGCACUCUGCAUGUGUCGCACCCUGCGAUUUCCCCAGGUGUGGGACACUGGACUGCAUGAUUUGUGGUAGUGGGGGACUGCCUUUGGACUCUCAUUGA
rnacentral:snRNA from 1 species